ensembl:lncRNA
AGCAGAUGUCACCAUCCCACAAGACAUGAAAUGCCAGGACCCACUGAGCCCCUGAUGAGGAAGUGAGGAGCCUAGGUUCCAGUCAAAGCUCUGCCACGCGGCAGCUGUGAGCACAGCCAAGCCGGCAUCUCCACCAGCCCUGGCUUCCUGUCCAUGAUCCUUGUACAUUUCUGAUUCUACUUGGCACACCUGGAAGGAUCAGCUAUCAUAUGUGAAAAUCAGCAUAUGAGAGGGAAUGGCUGGUGGAGAGGAAAGGUUUGCACAGAACCCCUGAGGGAGAGGAGAGGAACAGUGACUAUCCAAUGCCUGUGACCCUGAGUUGUGCCCAAGGGAGAGCCCCAGUGAGGGACACGUGGGCACAGAGCCACCUGCAGCCAAGAGCAGCCUCAGUGAGCAUCCUCGUGGAACUACAGCCAAUGACUCUCUUGAAUUAAUGGGCCGGGUGGGCUGUGUCCUGGUGGUCUUGACACGUUGGUGAGGAAGCACAGCUUCGUUCUAGGCUGUAAGUGUGUUCUUCUGAAAGUGAUAUGGAAAUUUACGGCAGUAGGCCUGCUUUUGGAGUUGUAGAACUGGAACAUUAUAAAGACCCUGGCCUCGAUGGACCUCGAUGGAAUGGACCUCGAUGGUCUCCAUGUUUAGAAUUGGAAUUCUUAAAUGGACAACGUCCAGAGAAAAUACUUGUCUGAAAUAAAUUUGUUAUGACAAAAAUCUCAAUUCACAGUCACUAUCAUGGAACGUCAAAAAGAUUAAUUGGCUCAAAGUUGUAUUCCAGUAGGCUUCAGGCCCCAAAGGGUGGGCUUUUAGCACUGGCCCCCUCUCACAUGUGCCCCCAACAGCUAUGCCGUGUGACAUUCCUUAGGAUACUCAGUGCAGUCGUUUGGAAGGUCAGCACGGUGGGUGGGGAGCUUUCUGCCUGUGUGCUUGGCUUCUUAGGCAGGUCCUUUUCUUUCUGGCUCUCCGUGAGUCUGCAGACAGGGGCAGCACCCCCUCGACUUGCGGCACCAGUCCUGCUGCAUGAGCACUUGUUUGUGACGUCUCCCUCUCUCUUCAGAGCUGCCCCAGGACAUCUGACUCAUUCAGAUUGGCAAGCCAAUGGCGGUGACACAAUGUUCAAUCUCCUGAAUCCAUGAGAUGAGGCCCAGUGCAGGCAAAGCUUUCACACUUUGGUGCCAACCCCUCCAGGACUUCCAUCUCUGCUCCAAGAAAUUUGACAUUUUCAAAAAUUCAGAAAUCAAUUGGAGUGGAGCCAGCUCUGUCAGCGGAUUAUUAACGGCCCUGGAGCUGACUGAUCGCGUUUGCACAGCCUUUCAAUAAACAGCUUCAACAACAACUCAGAGGAAAAGAAAGCACACACCCCAUCCAAUCGGGACAGACUUGAAGUAUCGAUUCCCCCACCUCCUUCCCACCCCCGGCCUUCAGAGCAAAUCGAGAGGAUUACACCAUGGUAGUUGAUGAUUGCCAGACCCCCAUGUCACCAGGGCCCAACUGUGUUUUGCUGGAAUAGCGCGUUGUCUGCUUUAGCUGAAAUGACUCUUCCAAGAUUUCCUGAGGCCAGGGCGACAAACAGCUGCAUCCUGGGGAGGGGCAGCAACGAAAGGAACGUCUGGCCGGGCCAGGGACUCCAGGGGGCUCUUCCUGACGCUCACUUCUCGGCUGCCUGGGAAAGUGCUGCCCUAAACCUCCACAGGAGCAGCCGGUCCUCCCAGAGCGCUGGAAACAGAAGGCAACUGGCCGCAGAGCCGGCAGCCUCUCUAGCCGGAGGGGCUGCGGUCUUUAGUGAGCUGCUUUCUGUUCCUACUCUAUCCUGUUUGUGGGACAGGCAGGGAGAACCACGGGAGAUAUUUCAGAGGACCCGGUCUCAUCAGUCUACACCCCUGAGUGUGCUCUCUGCUGACGUAAAGACAUCGUUGGUCCUCACCCACUGUGACAGAAGCCAGGACUGCUUGGUGACACACAGAUGUGGAUUUUCUUCUAUCUCCUAGUUGUUUCAAAAUUUGAUAUCUCAACACAAAUUAACUGGCUAAUUGUACAACACCCUCCCCCUGCC